rnacentral:rRNA from 1 species
UACGUAGGGUGCGAGCGUUGUCCGGAAUUAUUGGGCGUAAAGAGCUCGUAGGCGGUGUGUCACGUCGGCCGUGAAAACCUGGGGCUUAACUCUGGGCGUGCGGUCGAUACGGGCAUCACUGGAGUUCGGCAGGGGAGACUGGAAUUCCUGGUGUAGCGGUGAAAUGCGCAGAUAUCAGGAGGAACACCGGUGGCGAAGGCGGCAUCCUGGACCAAUACUGACGCUGAGGAGCGAAAGCCAGGGGAGCAAACGGG